AUGACCUUUUCGAAAUUGUGUGAACAGGAGAAUGAAGAGAAUGGAGAGCCUGAAAUUGAUGAUGAAGAGGAUGAUGAGGUGGAUGAGGAAGAGGAAGAGGAAGGAGAGGGUGAUGAAGAGGACGAGGAUGAAGAUGAUGAUGAGCUAGGUGGAGGAACAAAACGGACUGCUGAAGAUGACGAUGAAGAUGAGGAGGAUGAUGUUGACCCCAAGAAGCAGAAGAAAGAUGAUUAAAGGAUUUUCAUAUUGCUGAGCAGGUGUAGACGCCUCCGCUUUAACCCAAACUGUUGGAGCCAGUGGCAUAAAGGACUCAAAUACAUAAAACAUGGUCAUUUUCAAGUUUGUCCCCCAUGUCAACCAACUUCACCCCCAAUUAAAAGUUUUCUAGAGAACCGACCACAACUCAGAUUUUCAGCGUUCACAACGAAAUACGCAAGACAAGGAUUUGUUUGUAUUUUUAUUUACAUUUUAUAUUUUUGUACAUAUUGUGAAGAGAUCAGCCACUUUAUCAUGAUCUCCUGUGACCAAAACGGUGCUUCUUGAUAGAAAUUUUACUUGUUUGACCAUGUCUUGAUAUUUCAACAUAAAGACAACAUGUAUAAAAUCAACAGUCAUUGAACUCAGAGCAUUCCAGUAAAUUUUAUGUAUGAACUUUAGUUGUACCAUAAACUAGUUUUUGUAUGGGAUGGCUAGGCCAAAGAAAAGGAGUUUUGGUUUCUUUUGACUUGGUUUUGUCUACAUUGUUUUACCUUGGCCUGUUUGUUGUAUGUGUGGAGUUUGUUGUUCAACAAUAAACGUAACUUUUAUUUUGUGAGUUACACCAGUUUUUUUUUUUUGUUUGUUGCAAAAUCCCAUACAUUUGCUGUUCAUUGAGAGACCAAAAUAGGUGUAGUUAGAAAAAUGCAUUGAUAAUGCCUAUCCUUCAAUAGGUGUUGACUCAAAGAGCAUCUGAUGAGCCACCAAUUAAUUCGGUUCAUGAGACACUUCAAUUCUUGAUCAGUUUAAGACUCCUAUGCAUAAUUAAAAUAAACCGAUUUUAUGUGGUCAAACUGCGGAAUGAUUUGUUACACACCGA
rnacentral:lncRNA from 1 species